UGGGGAAUAUUGCACAAUGGGCGAAAGCCUGAUGCAGCAACGCCGCGUGAGUGAUGAAGGCCUUCGGGUUGUAAAGCUCUGUCUUUUGGGACGAUAAUGACGGUACCAAAGGAGGAAGCCACGGCUAACUACGUGCCAGCAGCCGCGGUAAUACGUAGGUGGCAAGCGUUGUCCGGAUUUACUGGGCGUAAAGGAUGCGUAGGCGGAUUUUUAAGUGAGAUGUGAAAUACCCGGGCUUAACUUGGGUGCUGCAUUUCAAACUGGGAAUCUAGAGUGCGGGAGAGGAGAAUGGAAUUCCUAGUGUAGCGGUGAAAUGCGUAGAGAUUAGGAAGAACACCAGUGGCUAAGGCGAUUCUCUGGACCGUAACUGACGCUGAGGCAUGAAAGCGUGGGUAGCAAACAGGAUUAGAUACCCUGGUAGUCCACGCCGUAAACGAUGAGUACUAGGUGUAGGAGGUAUCGACCCCUUCUGUGCCGCAGUUAACACAAUCAAGUACUCCGCCUGGGGAAGUACGAUCGCAAGAUUAAAACUCAAAUGAAUUGACGGGGUC
rnacentral:rRNA from 1 species